rnacentral:rRNA from 1 species
CCGCGGUAUUUUGACCGUGCUAAGGUAGCAUAAUCAUUAGUUUUUUAAUUGAAAGCUGGUAUGAAGGGUUGGAUAAAAAAAUAACUGUCUCUAUAAAAAAAAUUGAAUUUUAUUUUUAAGUUAAAAAGCUUAAAUUUUUUUAAAAGACGAGAAGACCCUAUAGAGUUUUAUAUUAUGUUUAAUUGAUUAAUUUAGAAUUUAUUUGAUUAAUUAAAUUUAGUAUUUAAUUGGGGUGAUUGAAAAAUUUAAAUAACUUUUUUUUUAUAAAAAUAUUUUUAUAUAAAUUGAUGAUCCAAUUAUUUUGAUUAUAAGAUAAAAUUACCUUAGGGAUAACAGCGUAAUUUUAUUAGAGAGUU